rnacentral:misc_RNA from 1 species
UACUACUCCAUCCAAACUAACUCCUUCCUUAUCACCAGUUCAGCCUUCACUGCAGUGUUAUCAAAGGCGCGCACCAGGCACAGCCCCAUGCACCCCACUACAGAAAAGGCGCACCAGCUCCCUGAGGCUCACCAAGGCGAGGUGCACCCCCAAGGAGUCAAGGUGCAGUAUAAAAGUUUGGCUAGGGUUUUAAAAUUUCUCCAGCAGCCAACAAAAUGAUAAAAAAGAAGAAAAGAAAAAGAAGAGAUCUCCAGCAGCCAAGAAA